UACGUAGGUGGCAAGCGUUGUCCGGAUUUACUGGGCGUAAAGAGCGCGCAGGCGGUCAGAUAAGUCGAAUGUGAAAGCCCCCGGCUCAACUGGGGAGGGUCAUUCGAUACUGUUCGACUCGAAGGCAGGAGAGGGAAGCGGAAUUCCCGGUGUAGUGGCGAAAUGCGUAGAUAUCAGGAGGAACACCUGCGGUGUAGACGGCUUACUGGACCAUCACUGACGCUGAGGCACGAAAGCGUGGGUAGCAAACAGG
rnacentral:rRNA from 1 species